CGGCAAAAGCUCAAAUUUGAAAUCUGGCUCUUUUAGAGUCCGAGUUGUAAUUUGUAGAAGAUGCUUCGAGUGUGGUUCCGGUCUAAGUUCCUUGGAACAGGACGUCAUAGAGGGUGAGAAUCCCGUAUGUGACUGGAUACCUAUGCUCAUGUGAAGCUCUUUCGACGAGUCGAGUUGUUUGGGAAUGCAGCUCAAAAUGGGUGGUAUAUUUCAUCUAAAGCUAAAUAUUGGCCAGAGACCGAUAGCGCACAAGUAGAGUGAUCGAAAGAUGAAAAGCACUUUGGAAAGAGAGUUAAACAGUACGUGAAAUUGUUGAAAGGGAAGCGCUUGCAAUCAGACUUGCACCUGAUGUUCAGCGGGGUUUCGUGCCCCGUGUACUUCAUCAGGUUCAGGCCAGCAUCGGUUUGGGUGGUUGGAUAAAGGCCUUGAGAAUGUGGCCCUCUUCGGGGGGUGUUAUAGCUCUCGGUGCAAUGCAGCCUACCUGGACCGAGGACCGCGCUUCGGCUAGGAUGCUGGCGUAAUGGUUGUAAGCGACCCGUCUUGAAACACGGACCAAGGAGUCUAACAUUUAUGCAAGUGUUUGGGUGUUAAACCCAUACGCGUAAUGAAAGUGAACGGAGGUGAGAGCCCUUUAGGGUGCAUCAUCGACCGAUCCUGAUGUCUUCGGAUGGAUUUGAGUAAGAGCAUAACUGUUGGGACCCGAAAGAUGGUGAACUAUGCGUGAAUAGGGUGAAGCCAGAGGAAACUCUGGUGGAGGCUCGCAGCGGUUCUAACGUGCAAAUC
rnacentral:rRNA from 1 species